GACGAACGCUGGCGGCGUGCCUAAUACAUGCAAGUAGAACGCUGAAGGAGGAGCUUGCUCUUCUGGAUGAGUUGCGAACGGGUGAGUAACGCGUAGGUAACCUGCCUGGUAGCGGGGGAUAACUAUUGGAAACGAUAGCUAAUACCGCAUAAGAGUAGAUGUUGCAUGACAUUUACUUAAAAGGUGCAAUUGCAUCACUACCAGAUGGCCCUGCGUUGUAUUAGCUAGUUGGUGGGGUAACGGCUUACCAAGGCGACGAUACAUAGCCGACCUGAGAGGGUGAUCGGCCACACUGGGACUGAGACACGGCCCAGACUCCUACGGGAGGCAGCAGUAGGGAAUCUUCGGCAAUGGACGGAAGUCUGACCGAGCAACGCCGCGUGAGUGAAGAAGGUUUUCGGAUCGUAAAGCUCUGUUGUAAGAGAAGAACGAGUGUGAGAGUGGAAAGUUCACACUGUGACGGUAGCUUACCAGAAAGGGACGGCUAACUACGUG
rnacentral:rRNA from 1 species